rnacentral:ncRNA from 12 species
GGUACUAAAAGUAGAGAAUGUGCUGCUACGCACCCUAUGGGUCAAAAGAAAUGCUGGAUUGGCACACAGCUUAGUACC